GCUGUUCCUCCCACUUCCCCCAGGCCACUCCACUCUCACCCUGACAUGGAAAGCGGUUGAUCUGCCACCCCCAAGAACUGACCUGAGAUGAUUAAGAGACCAUACGAUCAUACAUAGGACUCCUUGUUCAUCACUGAUACCACAUGGAAUUUCUGGACAAAUGUAUGCUUAGGAGACAAUAGCCCACUCCACUCCCACCCUGACAAGGAAAGAUGACAUCCCAGGCAUAUUCUUCAUAUUUCUUCUGAGAGGAAGAAAACAGAGCCACAGACUGAAAGCUCAAAGGGACAUCAAAUGUCUUCGAGUCCAAACCACUCCUCUAACUAACGAGAAACUUGAGACCAAGAAAGCUAAGGAACUUAACCAGGAUCCUACACUGAAUGAGUAUCUGAGGCAGGUCUGGACCUAGAUCUUGAUGAGCCUUGGGUCCAGCACUGUAAUACUCUAUCAGCAAUGCUGCUCUUCCUUACCCUAGAACAAGACCUAGGACCAUUGGAACAUCACUGACACCAUAUGGAAUUUAAUAAACAAUCACAUUUAGGAAAUUAUAGCUACAUAAAGAGGCAUAAUGGAUAGGUGUGGGCCAAUGGGUAAGGAAAAAAUUCUACAAUGGAUGGCAGUUAGGGGCAAGGAAAGAGAAUAAUGAGAGAGGAGCAGUGGUUUAGAGAGGAGAGGGUGUGAUUUCUAGGUAACAAUUGGGGUGGAGAACAGAGAUUCAGGGUUGAGAUUCAGUCAGUACAAAGCAGAAUGUACCAGCAUUAAGGCAAAUCAUUGAACUUCAGGACAAGACUGAUAUCUAUGAGGGUCUUAAAUGACUGAGGAGACAAGUUAAAAGCAGAGGCUCAAAGAUGAUAAACAUUGGGAAGUUUGAGAACAAGCACUGAGUCAGAGGGAUGAGAGCUCAGAGGGUUAGACACAUAAGGGGUUCCAAAAAGAUUCCAGAUGAGCUUGACUGAACCCUGUGAAAGAAUCCUUAAUCAGAUGAAAUAUGGGGUCUCAUACCUGGCUUUUAAACAUCUGGAUCAGAAUGUCUAGCUAGGGGAAUGGUGCUGAGACAUCAGCUCAUCCAACAAAAGUCCAUAGGCAUUUCAGGGGUUGAUAUCCAGGGUAAUCGAUGAUAUCUAUGAGGAGGCAACUCAAGUUGGGAUAGAUGUGGUUUGGGGAUGAUACUGAAGUGUCAAUAUCAAGAGGCUGAAGGCAAGAACAGAAGGGCUCUCCAGAGGGAUAUCACAAGGCAGCAUUUUGGAGAAUAUACUGCUUUAGAAACCUUCAAACAUUGAAUAAAUUUUAAAUAGUGUCCUUCCUAAUGAAAGGCACUAAAAGAGACUCCUCAGAGAGUGAGACCUACCACUGUCCUUGGCACCAAUAAAAUCUUGUAGAGUCAGGAUGAUCUCAUAAUUCUUCUGUAUGAACAACACACCUCUGACCUUGUUGUUCCUGGCAACCCAGGAAUGAUGGUCUUACCACAUUCCCCCAGCCCACUCCACUCCCACCCUGACAAGGAAAGCAUGCCUCAGGCAUAUUCCCUCUCAAAGGAAAACAGUGUCACAGACUGAAAGCUCAAAUGGAUCUCAGAUGUCAAGUCCAAACUACUCCUUUGACAAAUGUGGAACCUGAAGCCAAGAGAGCUAAGGAACUUCCCAGGAUUCUACUCUUAAUGAGGACUGGACCUAGAACCCUUAGUAUAUCAUUGAUACCACAUGGAGAAAUCAUGCUGAGGAGACCAUAGUAUCUGACCCAAAAUGCCUUGUACAUCACUGACACCAUAUGGAAUUUCAGGACCAAUGUAUGCUUGGGAGACAAUAGGUGGAGAGCCGCGAGUGCUCCAAAGUGGAAGUAGAAAAAAAGGCCAGAGCCUAUUCACAACCAGGUUAAAUACCCCAUCUCGCUCUCGGCGCAGGGACAAGGGAAUAGCACAAGUGGACUCAAGGUUGAUGCACAUUAGGAGGUCUGAGGACAAGCCCAGAGUCAAAGGGAUGCUGUCUCUGACAGUUCAAAGCAAAGAGGGAUCAACAAAUAAGUGAAAACUAGCUUGAAGCUUGUGGUUCUGAUGCUACUGACAAUCAAGCUAUAAGAAGAGCAUUGAUUUAGCCAGCCAUAGUUCACUUGAAACUUCUGAGAAUUUCAGGUCCUAGGUCAGCCCUCUAGGGUCAAGCAACUCCUUCCUCCACAUGGCAGUCCAUUAAAUACUUGAGGAAAGUAUGUGGUCCCUUCUCUUCUUCAGCCUAAAUGUCCCCAGGUGCCUGAACAUGGAUUGGUGUAGCAAGAGAGCUAAAAAUCUCACCAUCAGAAAAUGUGGAUUGGAAUUCCAGUACAGGUAUUUACCUAACUCCAAUUUUUAUCACAGUACCCGAAUCUCAAUUUCUUCAUUUGUAAGAUGGGGAUAACAUUUUUACUACAUACUUCACAGGGAGGUUGUGAAAAAAAAUGUGUUUUAGAAACCUUAAAGGCUGGCCUUAUUCCAAGUAAAUAUUCCUACAGUGGCAUGAACCUUGUUUUGGAAGAUGAAAGACCUGGGAUACAGUUCCCAUUCUGCUGCAAACUAGCUGUAUGGUCUUGGACAAGUCAAUCUCCCUUUCAAGGGCCUGUUUUCUUCAUUGUAAAAUAAGGAGAAUAAACUAGAUAAUCUCUAAGUACCUUCAAACUCAAACUCUAAGCUGAGAAGCAAAUAGAAAGACAUGGGCAAAGGAUGUAGUAGUCUAUUGGACGGAUUUUGAAAGCCCUCCUCCCUGGACCAUAGACUGCAAAUCUAUCCCUCAUCAACCUCCAAGGGUCCCUGAAAUCCCUGGCAUUUGAGGCUGAGCUUCCUGAGAGAAGAACAUAUCAGUUUUGAAUUGGUUCCAACACAGGGAUCAGAUUCCUUUAUAAGCACAGCUCACCAGUGCCCUCAAGAGGCUCUGAGGAAAUCUGAGGCAUAAGGCAAGGGAAGUCAGGAAUGGACAGAGGCCUCAAGCAUGGUUGCUUAAGUCACUGGCAGAAGGGCAGGCUCAGAUUCAUAGAGGGGAUUAAGGUGGAGGGUCUUGAACCCUCUGGGUAAAUUCAAGCUCAUGACAAGCAUCACUGACUUCCCAAGAGCACAUGGGGCUGGCCUCAUAGGCACUGGCUAGGCCAAGUCUCUGCAGAGACCAAAUCUAGGGAUAAGGAGUUUUUCAUUACUCCUGUAAGGCCAAGUGGGGCCUCCAUCUUGACACAAACCUCACUCCUGAACUACUGGCCUUGUUGUCUGAUAGGGGGAUGGAAAUUAGGAGCAGACAGAGCAACUGACAUGGCCUCAAGGCCCAACAGAAAUCCCUCUGUUUGCCACUGAAAGCCCUUGACAGCCUGGCCCCAGCCUCUCUAGUCUUAUGACAUCUUACUAUCCUUGGAACAUUCUGUGGCCCAGUCAGACUGGCCUACAUCAGUGCUUUAUUCCUGAUCUCGGUGCAUAGAAAGCACUCCA